rnacentral:lncRNA from 1 species
GCUCUGCCUCUUCCCAUGUCUCCCAGCCUCCACACAGCACCCAGGAAUGUCUAAGCACAAUUUCUACAAGCAUCUUGUAAGGGGGAUGGAUGAGAUUAGUCCAGUUUCUCUCUUGCUACUAGGUCCUUUGCUUGAAGAUGAUGAAGAUGUUUUUAGUUAGGGAUCUUCUCUCUGCUGGAGGCCUAUAACACUAUAGGAAUUAGGGGAAAACCUUUUCCAUAAUUGAGAGCAAGUGACACACCUACUUUUCAGGUUCAUCCACCUCCAGUGGAAUGUUUUCAGUCAAAUGAGAAAGAAAAUAAUUGAUCUUUAAUAAUACAGCCCUAUAUUCAGUAGAUGCAGUUUAUACUAAGGUUACAAUAUAAAUAUAUACAAAAUAGGUGCCUUUUUGAUUAUGCUUGUUUAUCAUUAUGGUCUUAGAAAGGAAACCAAGCAAGCAAGCAAGCUUCUGCAUAUUCUAUAGUAAUAUUUUAUGAUACAUGAUCAAUAUUUUUGUGGUGAGAAGUGGGAUACCCUUGAAAGAAAGAUACUACAGGUGGUAGCUAGUUGUAUUUUCCUUCUAAAGGUUUAUAAUACUAGAAAAUGCUGACUUAUUCAAUUUUCUGAGAAGUUUUUUUGUGGAUUUAUAUAUAGUUGAGAUAUAUAGGCAUUAAGUUUAGGUUUGGGGUUUAAAAUAAUUAUGGUGAGACAGACUAGCUAUAUUAUGAGACUGAAUUCACUGCAUAAUUGAACUUUAUGACCUGAUUAUAUUUUAACUGUUUGCCUAUGAUAAUCUGUUUGUGGCUUGUGUUGCGCUGAUAAUCUAAAUUAUCAUUGCAUUGUAUGGGGUAAUAAAACAUGAUGAUAGAGCUUCAGUUAAGCAGGAAGCUAUGUAAACCUUUAAAGAUGCUAAAAAUGAAGGUCUUUCUGAAGUAUUCCAUGCUCCUUAGGACCCUUCUCCAGGCAAGUAGCUGUCAAUAACUGAUGACCAAAAAAGUCAAGCUGUGUGAAACUUCUGUGAUCAUCAUUCCAGGAUGUGUAAGACCACUAGAAUCCUUAUGCCUGGAAACUUCUCUGAGCAAACGUCCUUCCCAAUUAUCUGUAACUUCAGUGUAUCUACAAGAGCUUGCCAUGCUUAUUGUGUCUGGUGUAUUGUAUCCUGGUUGCAUAGCACACACUUCACCGUUGUCAAUUAUUGAUUGUUAAAGAUGAUUUCCUUUAAAGGAAAGAGAAAACUGAAUCGCAGCAUCCUUCCUUCCUGUCCAUACAAUGAAUUGCUGAGCAUUUUGGAAGUUGCAACAAGUGUGUAACAGGCAUGAUAUUUGUAGAACUGUUGGUUUCUGACCUGUGAUAAAAACACAAAUUUGAAUGAUGUAGUUUGGCUUCUGUUUGCUUUGAAAUAUGCACAGUUGUGGUUUGUGGUUAAUUUGUAAAAUUGUACUAACUUUGAGAACAUAAUGAUUUUGAAAGAAGCAUUAAAUGUUUUUUCCCCCAAUGGAAGGGUAUCACAGAAUGAUAUAAGGUUAUUAGUAUAAUUUGGCAUUUGUUAUGCAAGUUGUGAACACCAGCUAUUAAAAUAUAUUUUAGUAGAAAUGCUUUAAUUCAUGUUGUUUUCCUCUACACUGUGAAUCUUAAGCCUUGGUGGACCAGAGACACAUUGUGAUGUCCAAAGGACUAACCUAUGCAAAUGAGUUCACAUCUUAUAUUGAUAUCACAAUAAACAUGUGAUAAGGCAUUAUUUCUCCUCAUAAUGUACAGCAGUAUUGAAAUAACAAAGGAAGCCCAGCCUCCCAUAUAUUACACUGUAGUCCCUCACAAUCCCUUCAAGGCUACCGAAAUCAUUAGCAUUUAUGUAAAUCAGACUGAUAUCAACUAAAGCGACUUGAAUGAUUCUGGACAGAAAAUGAUGGACAAGCAUCUCGACUGGAUUUCAUAGAACUAUGUUCUCACAUACUCUCUGUUCAGGGUCUUGGUAUUCUAUGUCUUCUAUCUGUAUUUGUAAAGCCUUAUGAUGAAUUGAUUUCCUAUCAACACACUCAGUUUGCUUAAAUAAAUUCAGGAUGUAACACAAUGGUUCUACAUCUUUGCUGUCACGUGGUUCCUAGACCAGGCCAUUGGAUGCUUGCAGCACAGUGGGCAUUCCUACUGUUGGCUCACAUGCAGGCAUAGCAAAGGCUCAUGAAGACAUAGUGUAUUUAUUUUUAAGUGCUAUGGAGAAUGUGUUUUUCCCCAUGAAACUAACACACAUUUAAGAAAUAAUUAUAUACUUUUUAAUCCCACAAUCUUUCUGAUGUUUAUACCCAUGUAUUGCUGGGACACAUCCUCGUAGCUAACUUUUUUUCAAAACUGAAGUCUUCCCUGGCCUGGUGUUAGUUUUCUUGUAUUUGAAAGAUGAAAGUAGCAACAGAAGCAACUUGGAGGAAGGAAAGGGCACGGAUUGAUACUCUGAUCUUUCAUCAAAGAAUGUCUAUCAUAGAACAUAAUUGCUUCUUUUCUCAUGUUUCUGUAUCACAGAACGUAAUUGCUUCUUUUCUCAUGGUUUUCUCAUAACUGAAAAGACAGGUAGUUCCAAUUUUUACCCUCAUCUACACUUCAAUAAAUUGGAUCUUGGCUUUAUUGUGUGAAUCUCUGGCAUAAUCUUUCCAAACUAUAAACUGAUAAAUCUUGUAGACUGACACACACAUUUCAAACAGGUCAAUGGAGAAGCUUAGCAAAUGGCAUUUGCUAAUAGAGUAAACACUUCUACCAAAUCUUGAUUGUUCUGUUUUUUUAUAUUCUGUAAGUUUGGGUUGAAUAUCUGUGGUAUUAUGAAUCAAACACACUCAUGAUUUUUGAAAGUAUAAAGUAAACAACACAGGUAUUUAUUCAUGUGAAGAACUUACUAUCCCUUCCUUCUUCCACGACUUUCUUUCAUUUCAUGACUAUAACUGUACCCUUUGAAAUCUGAGCCAUAAAGAAAAUGAAUAAUUGACCU